UACGGAGGAUCCGAGCGUUAUCCGGAUUUAUUGGGUUUAAAGGGAGCGUAGGUGGAUUGUUAAGUCAGUUGUGAAAGUUUGCGGCUCAACCGUAAAAUUGCAGUUGAAACUGGCAGUCUUGAGUACAGUAGAGGUGGGCGGGAUUCGUGGUGUAGCGGUGAAAUGCUUAGAUAUCACGAAGAACUCCGAUUGCGAAGGCAGCUCACUAGACUGCAACUGACACUGAUGCUCGAAAGUGUGGGUAUCAAACAGG
rnacentral:rRNA from 1 species